rnacentral:rRNA from 1 species
ACUCCUGCGGGAGGCAGCAGUGGGGAAUUUUGGACAAUGGGCGAAAGCCUGAUCCAGCAAUGCCGCGUGAGUGAAGAAGGCCUUCGGGUUGUAAAGCUCUUUUGUCAGGGAAGAAACGGUGAGAGCUAAUAUCUCUUGCUAAUGACGGUACCUGAAGAAUAAGCACCGGCUAACUACGUGCCAGCAGCCGCGGUAAUACGUAGGGUGCAAGCGUUAAUCGGAAUUACUGGGCGUAAAGCGUGCGCAGGCGGUUUUGUAAGUCUGAUGUGAAAUCCCCGGGCUCAACCUGGGAAUUGCAUUGGAGACUGCAAGGCUAGAAUCUGGCAGAGGGGGGUAGAAUUCCACGUGUAGCAGUGAAAUGCGUAGAUAUGUGGAGGAACACCGAUGGCGAAGGCAGCCCCCUGGGUCAAGAUUGACGCUCAUGCACGAAAGCGUGGGGAGCAAACAGGAUUAGAAACCCGAGUAGUCC